GACGAACGCUGGCGGCGUGCUUAACACAUGCAAGUCGAACGGAAAGGCCCUGCUUUUGUGGGGUGCUCGAGUGGCGAACGGGUGAGUAACACGUGAGUAACCUGCCCUUGACUUUGGGAUAACUUCAGAAAACUGGGGCUAAUACCGGAUAGGAGCUCCUGCUGCAUGGUGGGGGUUGGAAAGUUUCGGCGGUUGGGGAUGGACUCGCGGCUUAUCAGCUUGUUGGUGGGGUAGUGGCUUACCAAGGCUUUGACGGGUAGCCGGCCUGAGAGGGUGACCGGCCACAUUGGGACUGAGAUACGGCCCAGACUCCUACGGGAGGCAGAAGUGGGGAAUAUUGCACAAUGGGCGGAAGCCUGAUGCAGCAACGCCGCGUGCGGGAUGACGGCCUUCGGGUUGUAAACCGCUUUCGCCUGUGACGAAGCGUGAGUGACGGUAAUGGGUAAAGAAGCACCGGCUAACUACGUG
rnacentral:rRNA from 1 species